rnacentral:rRNA from 1 species
UACGUAGGCAGCGAGCGUUGUUCGGAGUUACUGGGCGUAAAGAGUGCGUAGGCGGUGUUCCAAGUCUGUUGUGAAAUCUCCCGGCUCAACUGGGAGGGUGCGGCGGAAACUGGGACGCUGGAGUACGGGAGAGGUAAGCGGAAUUCCUGGUGUAGCGGUGAAAUGCGUAGAUAUCGGGAGGAACACCAGAGGCGAAGGCGGCAAGCUGGAUGGGCACUGACACUCAACUACGAAAGCGUGGGGAGCAAACAGG